rnacentral:rRNA from 1 species
UACAGAGGUCUCAAGCGUUGUUCGGAUUCAUUGGGCGUAAAGGGUGUGUAGGUGGCGCGCUAAGUCGGGUGUGAAAUUUCGGAGCUUAACUCCGAAACUGUAUUCGAUACUGGCGUGCUUGAGGACUGGAGAGGAGACUGGAAUUCAUGGUGUAGCAGUGAAAUGCGUAGAGAUCAUGAGGAAGACCAGUGGCGAAGGCGGGUCUCUGGACAGUUCCUGACACUGAGACACGAAGGCCAGGGGAGCAAACGGG